AGAGUUUGAUCCUGGCUCAGAACGAACGCUGGCGGCGUGUCUAAUACAUGCAAGUCGAGCGAGAAAGCCAAUUUUAGCUUCGGCUAUUUGAGGCGAUUAAAGUGGCGAACGGGUGAGUAACACGUGGGUAAUCUACCUUCGAGUUUGGGAUAAGCCUGGGAAACUGGGUCUAAUACCGGAUAAUACCUCCGGGCGACAUCGCCUGGAGACCAAAGACGGGGCAACCUGUCGCUUGAAGAUGAGCCCGCGGUCCAUUAGCUUGAUGGUGGGGUAAUGGCCUACCAUGGCGACGAUGGAUAGCCGGCCUGAGAGGGUGGACGGCCACACUGGGACUGAGAUACGGCCCAGACUCCUACGGGAGGCAGCAGUAGGGAAUAUUGCGCAAUGGACGAAAGUCUGACGCAGCGACGCCGCGUGGGUGAUGAAGCUUCUUGGAGUGUAAAACCCUGUCAGUGGGGAAGAACCGUAAGUGGAGUAACUGCCACUUGCCUGACGGUACCCGCAGUGAAGCUCCGGCUAACUCCGUGCCAGCAGCCGCGGUAAUACGGGGGGAGCAAGCGUUGUUCGGAUUUACUGGGCGUAAAGGGCGUGUAGGCGGAUCGACAAGUCAUAUGUGAAAUCCAACGGCUUAACCGUUGGCUUGCAUUUGAAACUGUAGAUCUUGAGUACGGGAGAGGAAAGUGGAAUUCCUGGUGUAGCGGUGAAAUGCGUAGAUAUCAGGAGGAACACCGGUGGCGAAGGCGGCUUUCUGGUCCGAUACUGACGCUGAGGCGCGAAGGCCGGGGGAGCAAACAGGAUUAGAUACCCUGGUAGUCCCGGCGGUAAACGAUGGGCACUAGGUGUUGGAGGUAUCGACCCCUUCAGUGCCGCAGCUAACGCAUUAAGUGCCCCGCCUGGGGAAUACGACCGCAAGGUUGAAACUCAAAGGAAUUGACGGGGCCCCGCACAAGCGGUGGAGUAUGUGGUUCAAUUCGAAGCAACGCGAAGAACCUUACCUGGGCUUGACAUGCAUUGGACAAAGGCUGAAAGGUCUCUUCCCCUUCGGGGGCCGAUGUACAGGUGCUGCAUGGCUGUCGUCAGCUCGUGCCGUGAGGUGUUGGGUUAAGUCCCGCAACGAGCGCAACCCCUGUCCUUAGUUGCCAUCAGGUUAUGCUGGGAACUCUAAGGAGACUGCCGGUGAUAAGCUGGAGGAAGGUGGGGAUGACGUCAAGUCCUCAUGGCCCUUACGUCCAGGGCUACACACGUACUACAAUGGUCGGUACAGAGGGCUGCAAUAUCGCGAGAUGGAGCUAAUCCCUAAAGCCGGCCUCAGUUCAGAUUGGAGUCUGCAACUCGACUCCAUGAAGGCGGAAUCGCUAGUAAUCGCGAAUCAGCAGGUCGCGGUGAAUACGUUCCCGGGGCUUGUACACACCGCCCGUCAAGCCACGGAAGUUGGGGGUACCCGAAGUCGUUUGCCUAACCGCAAGGAGGGCGGCGCCGAAGGUAAAACCAAUGACUGGGGCUAAGUCGUAACAAGGUA
rnacentral:rRNA from 1 species